ensembl:lncRNA
GGGGGCAGAGGGGGAGAUUUGGGGUCAGGGGUGGGGAUGGAGGGAUAAUAUGGGGGCAGAGGGGGAGAUUGGGGGUCAGGGGGGGAAAUUUGGGGUCAGGAGUGGGGAAAGAGGGAGAAAUUUGGGGUCAAAGGGACAAAUGUGGGGUCAGGGAUGGGAACAAAGUUGGGGACAGAUAUGGGGUCAGGAAUGGGGUCAGGAAUGGGGUCAGGAGGACUCACGGUCCCGCAGCGGUGGUGGCACUGUGGGCUGUGGUGCCUUUAUGGGGUGGGGGUGGGGACAAAGGGGUGGGGACAAAAGGGGGGACGGCAGGGGGGGGGAUGACUAUGGGGUCUGUGGGGUGGCCAUGGGGUCUAUGGGGCGACAAUGGCCUCCAUGGGGUGACAGUGGGUUCAAUGGGGUGAUAAUAGGUUCUAUGGGGUGGCAAUAGGUUCUAUGGGGUGACAGUGGGCUCUAUGGGGUGACGAUGGGCUCUAUGGGGUAACAAUGGGUUCUAUGGGGUGAUAAAGGGCUCUAUGGGGUUAUAAUAGGUUCUAUGGGGUGAUAAUGGGCUCUAUGGGGCAACAAUGGGCUCUAUGGGGUGACAGUGGGCUCUAUGGGGUAACAAUGGGCUCUAUAGGGUAACAAUGGGCUCUAUGGGGUGCUAAUAGGUUCUAUGGGGCGCUGAUAGGUUCUAUGGGGCGGCGAUGCACUCCGUGUGCUGACAAUGCCCUCCAUGGGGUCCCCCUUCCAUCCCCCCCCCCAUCCCAUCCCAUCCCAUCCCCUUCCUGUAGGGCCGCCCCUCCCUUCCUCUCCCCUCCCCCCCCCCGACGUCCCCUUCCUGUUGACGCCGCUCUGACGGUGACAGCAAAGGGACAAUGGGGACAAUGAUGGGACCCCACAGCCGCCACCACCCCCCACAUGAUGAUGUCCCCCCCCCCAUAUUGUGUGUGUCCCCAUAUUAUGUCCCCC